GGAUUUUUUAUCUCAUUGAAAGUUUUGAGAGRAGAGAGGAAAAUCAAUAUGGCCUUCCUGUCACAAUACGUUUCAGAAGGAGCAGAUGGUCGAUGACUAAUCUGAGUUGAAUGACGAUCCCUUCAAUGCUGCCAAAUCUGAUCUUCUUCCUGAGUGGCAGGGGCGGAGUCAGCUUCACUCACCUGCUGCUGAUCCACACUGAUGAAUUCCUCAGCACCUGAGAUACAACCAAACCUCGCUGGAACAGUCUGUUGGCUACAGUAACAGAAGUGACAGCUCUUUAACAUUUAUGUAGAUUUCUCUUAGUAACCUUGCUUUUCCUGUGUGUGUUAAAGACACAUGCUGAUACCUA